UACGGGGGGGGCAAGCGUUGUUCGGAAUUACUGGGCGUAAAGGGCGCGUAGGCGGCCUGCUAAGUCGGACGUGAAAUCCCUCGGCUUAACCGGGGAACUGCGUCUGAUACUGGAUGGCUUGAGUUUGGGAGAGGGAUGCGGAAUUCCAGGUGUAGCGGUGAAAUGCGUAGAUAUCUGGAGGAACACCGGUGGCGAAGGCGGCAUCCUGGACCAACACUGACGCUGAUGAGCGAAAGCCAGGGGAGCAAACGGG
rnacentral:rRNA from 1 species